UACAGAGGGUGCAAGCGUUAAUCGGAAUUACUGGGCGUAAAGCGUGCGCAGGCGGUUCUAUAAGACAGAUGUGAAAUCCCCGGGCUCAACCUGGGAACUGCAUUUGUGACUGUAGAGCUGGAGUGCGGCAGAGGGGGAUGGAAUUCCGCGUGUAGCAGUGAAAUGCGUAGAUAUGCGGAGGAACACCGAUGGCGAAGGCAAUCCCCUGGGCCUGCACUGACGCUCAUGCACGAAAGCGUGGGGAGCAAACAGG
rnacentral:rRNA from 1 species